UUCUUCUUCACAGUCAGAAGUUGUGAUUCACCAGCAACGAGGGUUUUCUGAUGAUGAUGAUGAUGAUGAUAUUGAAGUUCUAACAUGAAAAAGUGAAAUUCGAGAAGAUCCAUUUCAGAUUGAUUGAAUAUAAGAUGGGUUCAACUCAUCCGUGUGGGAUUGAAGAUAAAAUGGGUUUGAUUGUUCCGGUGAAGGUGACAGAUGUGAUGUGGAAAAUCUGAAGAACUAGGGUUUGAAUUAAAAGAUUAUGAUGAUCCUAGUGGUGUUUUAGUCUGCAAUGGUGUAUGCUCUAAAACUUGUAUGGACUGAAUCAUAGUAGCUGUAGAUGAUGGCUGAGCAGAUACAAGCAGUUCAAGUUGGUGUUAGUGGUACUGCAAUGUCUUCGUCUGUUUCUUCUGUGUUUGUGAAGUGCACUGCUACUGGAAACCUUUAUUUGAUGAGGUUGUAGUUAAAGAAUAUCAUGUUUACAUGUCUCAGUGAAUGUGUUUGUUUAAAUUCUCUUCUAUGCAAGAGAAAGAAUGCUUAGCUUUAUGUGGUAAUCAAGUAUGGUAGAUCGAU